rnacentral:rRNA from 1 species
GCCAGACUCCUACGGGAGGCAGCAGUGGGGAAUAUUGCACAAUGGGGGAAACCCUGAUGCAGCGACGCCGCGUGAGUGAAGAAGUAUUUCGGUAUGUAAAGCUCUAUCAGCAGGGAAGAAAAUGACGGUACCUGAUUAAGAAGCCCCGGCUAACUACGUGCCGGCAGCCGCGGUAAUACGUAGGGGGCAAGCGUUAUCCGGAUUUACUGGGUGUAAAGGGAGCGCAGGCGGUAUGGCAAGUCAGAUGUGAAAACCCAGGGCCCAACCCUGGGACUGCAUUUGAAACUGCCAUACUGGAGUGCCGGAGAGGUAAGUGGAAUUCCUAGUGUAGCGGUGAAAUGCGUAGAUAUUAGGAGGAACACCAGUGGCGAAGGCGGCUUACUGGACGGUAACUGACGCUGAGGCUCGAAAGCGUGGGGAGCAAACAGGAUUAGAUACCCCCGUA